rnacentral:rRNA from 1 species
UACGUAGGGUGCAAGCGUUGUCCGGAAUUAUUGGGCGUAAAGAGCUCGUAGGCGGUUUGUCGCGUCGAAUGUGAAAUCCCGGGGCUCAACCCCGGGUCUGCAUUCGAUACGGGCAGACUAGAGUUCGGUAGGGGAGUCUGGAAUUCCUGGUGUAGCGGUGAAAUGCGCAGAUAUCAGGAGGAACACCGGUGGCGAAGGCGGGACUCUGGGCCGAUACUGACGCUGAGGAGCGAAAGCGUGGGGAGCAAACGGG